ensembl:snRNA U1 U1 spliceosomal RNA
AUACUUACUUGGCAGGAGAGAGACGCCUUGAUCACAAGGGUGAUUUUCUGAGGGCAUGGCUUAUCCAUUGCACUUUGGAUGUGCUGAUCCCUGAUGUUUCCCCAAAUGUGGGAAUCUCAACUGCAUAUUUGUGGUAGUGGGAGACUGGUUUUGCACUUUCCCCUG